UAGUAGAGACAAUGGAAUGUUAACUAUUUUUAGCUUUGGAAAUCCCAUUAAAAAGCAAAACAAAAUAAAACAUCUUUUGAAUGUAAUGUUUUAAUAACCGAACCGGAACUACUGGCAAGCACACAGUACAGUACUAUAAUCAGGACUGGACAGGAUAGAACAGGGGCCACUCGGCUGGGCUGGUCCAGACCAGGACUCCCACCACCAAGUGCUUAAUGCGCAUCUCCUGCAGCCAGACAUGCACCAUGCUGCCACACCCAGCCCUGUGGAUUGGAAACAGAAAGAAACCGACCGAGGAGCCAACAUUUUGUGUUUUUUAAGGAUCCCCAUUAGUUUCUGCCAAGGCGGCAGCUACUUUUCCUGAGGCCCAGUGAAAUUAAGGCAGGACCAGACCCAGCAGAGCACACCGUGGGGAUUUGGGGAUCGGACCAGACCAGACCCAGCAGAGCACACCGUGGGGGUUUGGGGAUCGGACCAGACUAGACCCAGCUGAGCAUAACGUGGGGUUUGGGGAUCGGACCAGACCAGCCCCAGCAGAGCAUAACGUGGGGUUUGGGGAUAGGACCAGACCAGACACAGCAGAGCACACCGUGGGGGUUUGGGGAUCAGACCAGACUAGACCCAGCAGAGCAUAACGUGGGGUUUGGGGAUAGGACCAGACCAGACCCAGCAGAGCAUACCGUGGGGGUUGGUGCUGGAGUGGUACCUAGAUGAAACACUAGACAUAACCGUCCUGGCCUGCAGUCUGUCCAGUCAUUUGAUAGUCCAGUCACACCUCGCGUGCCAGGAGAGGCACACCAGCAGGAGACCAGUCAGACUUCAGAGGGGACAGCCAGGUGGGCUCUGUCCGGGAGUUGAAUCAACACCCACCUGGCUGCCGCCCCCAGUCCCAUGUCUCGAUGAUGGAGUGAUGGACAGAUGUGGAC